CAAUAGCGUAUAUUAAAGUUGUUGCGGUUAAAAGCUCGUAGUUGGAUUUCUGUUGGAAACGGUCGGUCCCUUCUCUGAAGGUGCAUCAGAUUCGUUUUCGGCAUCCUCUUGGGGUGUGUCACUGUGCUUCAUUGCACGGGGCAUAAUUCAAGACUUUUACUUUGAGGAAAUUAGAGUGUUCACUGCAAGCUAUCGCAUGAAUACAUUAGCAUGGAAUAAUAAUAUAGGAUGUACGUCUUAUUUUGUUGGUUUCUAGGAUAUACAUAAUGGUUAAUAGGGAUAAUUGGGGGCACUCGUAUUUACGCGUCAGAGGUGGAAUUCUUAGAUUGCGUAACGACGAACUACUGCGAAAGCAUUUGCCAAGGAUGUUUUCAUUGAUCAAGAACGAAAGUAUGGGGAUCGAAGACGAUCAGAUACC
rnacentral:rRNA from 1 species